rnacentral:rRNA from 1 species
GGAUCUCGCGAAUGCUCUAGAUUAAGAGUUGAUCAUGGGCUCAGACUGAACGCUGGCUGGCAAGCCUAACACAUGCAAGUCGAGCGGAUGACGGGAGCUUGCUCCUUGAUUCAGCGGCGGACGGGUGAGUAAUGCCUAGGAAUCUGCCUGGUAGUGGGGGACAACGUUUCGAAAGGAACGCUAAUACCGCAUACGUCCUACGGGAGAAAGCAGGGGACCUUCGGGCCUUGCGCUAUCAGAUGAGCCUAGGUCGGAUUAGCUAGUUGGUGGGGUAAUGGCUCACCAAGGCGACGAUCCGUAACUGGUCUGAGAGGAUGAUCAGCCACACUGGAACUGAGACACGGUCCAGACUCCUACGGGAGGCAGCAGUGGGGAAUAUUGGACAAUGGGCGAAAGCCUGAUCCAGCCAUGCCGCGUGUGUGAAGAAGGUCUUCGGAUUGUAAAGCACUUUAAGUUGGGAGGAGGGGCAGUAAGUUAAUACCUUGCUGUUUUGACGUUACCGACAGAAUAAGCACCGUGCUAACUCUGUGCCAGCAGCCGCGGUAAAUACACGAGG